rnacentral:lncRNA from 1 species
AUUGCUCUGUAUCUGUUCCUGGAAACCUCCAAGCCAAAUUUUUAUAUUGCUGUUAGGAAGGCCGAGAAAUCCAAAGAGUUGCUAAAAAAUUGUUAGCACUAGUUGCAAUACUCAAAACUUACUGUAAAUAUUUACAAAGCUGCAAGCUAGUCAAAUUUAUACUCUCACUCAGUUAUAACCAACAUUAAAAAUAAAAUUCCUCAGUUUGCAAUUAGAUCAAUAGUUGUGUAGCUUCUGAGAUUUGUUCUUCAGUAUCUGCCCCUAUGGCUAAACAUUCUCCUUCAGUCCUGUACAUCAAGUAUUAAAAAGGGGACAUCAAAAUCUUAAAAUUAUAUGAUAAACUGUGGCUCCAGAAAACAUUUGCUAUAUUAAAACUGGUAGCAAAAUCUUUUAUUAACUUAAACUAGGGGUUUUAAAUAUGAACACAAAUUAUCCUUAAGUUUAUAAAGAUAUUUUAAUGGAAAGAUAGCUUUUGGAAGAUCAUGCUAUGUGACCAGGUUUCACAAAAUAAUUUCCUUUUUUUGAUUAUCUGAUCUUCAUUAAAAAAAAAAAAUCUUACCAUACCUCAAAUAGAGUGAAAAUAAACCCAUGUGAAAAAAAAAAAAAAAGAUAAGGAAGGCUUAGUCAGAUUUGGUUUUUAUUAUGAGAUUUACAUAUUGCCUUUUUCUAUCAAGAACAGGAGCUCCCACAGUGGCGCAGUGGAAACAAAUCUGAUUAGUAUCCAUGAGGAUGCAGGUUCAAUCCCUGGCCUGGCUCAGUGGGUUGGGGAACGUUGCCAUGACCUGUGGUGUAGGUUGCAGAUGCAGCUCUGAUCCAGCAUUGCUGUGGCUGUGGUGUAGGCCAGCAGCUACAGCUCUGAUUCAGCCCCUAGCCUGGGAACUUCCAUAUGCUGCAGGUGUGGCCAUAAAAAGACAAAAAAAANNNNNNNNNNNNNNNNNNNAAAAAAAAAAACAAAUUAAGAAGGACAUUCUCCAGUGGCACAGUGGAUUAAGGAUCCAAGGUUGUCACUGCAGUGGCUUGGGUUGUCAGGAUGACAACCAAGGUUAUAAGUUUCAGAAUAUUCUUCCCUCAAUAGUCAGCAACAGCCUUCUCAGAUUGCACAUGCCACUAUCUUUAACCUUUGCUUGGAUCAUCAAAUGAAAAUGAACCCAGUAUCACCAUUUCAUUACAAUCUGAGAAAACAGUGCUUUUGGUUUAAGAGAACCAUGUUGUUGGCUUGAAGGUUUUUUAAAACUUUUCAUUUCCAUACAUCAACUUGGGGAGUUUAUGUAUGUAUAUCAGUUAUAUAUACAUAGCAUGUAUCUAUAUGUUUGAUAGCAUUAGAACCAUAAAAGGUGAUUAAAAAACAAAUACAAGUCAAUAAUCUUUGGAUAUUACCAAAUGAUACAUAAAAUAAACAUAAAAUCAAACACUUAUUUAAAACUAUU